ensembl:lncRNA
CUAACCUUUGUUUCUGGGAAGAGGACAUGGUUAUUUGGGGACUUGUUAACCACGGGUAACAAGGAGUUUAUUUCUCAAGUAUAAGCAUGUGAUGAUUUCGCAAUGUUAUUCAUCCGGGUUUUGUCCUGGGUUAUUGUUUUUGGCCUUCUAUCUGCCCCUAUGUGGGCAACAUAGCAAGACCCCAACUCAGAAAAAGGAGGUGUGGUGGAAGACCCACUUCAUAUGCUGGAAGCAGAAUACUGACAAUGUCUAGAGUAUCAGGGAUCGAACACGGGACCUUGUGCUUGCAAGGCAGGCAUGGCGCCACUGAGCUAAGUCAUCUUCUACCUUAGAAGUGGCCUAUAUUGGCACUCAGCACCCUCAGCACAAGGCUUCGGUGCUGAUGUCUCUGGCAGUAGGCAAGGCUGUCCUGUGUGAGAAGCCCAUGGGUAUGAACGCUCCAGAAGUUCGCAAGAUGGUCUCAGAGGCCCAAACCCAAGGUCUCUUCCUUAUGGAGGUGAGGGCCUCAACCAACAUUCACUGUAGCACUGCUUGCCAUUACUAAACAUGGCCACCAGCAGACGUUUUUGGAGAACCAAGGCAUCUUCCACAGUCGAGAUGGCCACAGGAAUGGAGCAGGGUCAGUUGGGGGUAUAGUUGAAUGUACUGGCCACACCCAUUGAGAGCACAAACCAAAGUUCAGUGCUUGCCACUCUAACAGGCCAUGACUCAAAGACAAGUUGUUGAGGCAAAGAGAAAGAGUUGUUUGGAAAGCUAGCAAACUAAAGAAGAUGGAAGCUGACAUCAACCAAGACCAUCUUGUUUAGAGGUUGCAGGGAAAAGGCUUAUCUAGGGAGUUUUGUGGAAGUAGAUCCCAGUAGGAGGGCACCAAGGUAUUUCCAAAUUCCAGAGUAGUUACAGAUUAUGGGGUCUGCUGUUUUGUGUAGGUAACUGGAUGCUCUGGGUUCUGUAAAUCUAAAGAAAGUUACUGACCCAUAAGCACAGCAUUUAGGGAGGCUGAGAUGGGGGAUCAAGUCCUGCCCAGGCAACACAACAAGACUCUGUCUUAAAUUUGUAAGAAGAGUAGGGUUGGGUGUAACUCCAUUGGAGAGAGCCCCUGGUCAAUCCCUACCACAAGGAAGAACAGAGAAAGGAAAGGAGAGAGGGAGGAAGAAAGAAAGGGAGGGAAAAAGAAAGGGAGAAAGGAGGAAAGAAAAAAGAAAUUGAGUAGGAAGUCUCACGGCUCGUCUUUUUAGUUCCUUUUCUGAGGACUAGCUAAUUCUCCAGUGUACCUGGAUAUCAAAGGUAUCCUUUCCAUGGGGAAGAGGGGAAGAUAGCAAAAGGCAACUUUUCUCUGGAAGACCAGGGAAGAUAAAGAAAAGCAAUUUUUCCCGAGGACGGAGGACGGAGGAGUCACAUUCCCUGGAGAAGUUUUUAACCCAUUGUGUAGAGUGUGUCACCACAGCAAAGCUAAAACUAAUAGUGUAUCUUCCAGCUGUGUGACUCCUAAAAUCAGUGAUGGUUUGUUUGUUUUUUGAGACAAAAUCUCACUAUACGGUUUAGGCUGGUCUUGAACUCAUAGUGAUCCACCUGCCUCAGUGCCAUGCCCAGUAAAAUUAGUGAUUGGGGGGUGGGUGUUUUUUGGGGAGGUUUUUUGGUACCAGGUACUGAACUCGGG